rnacentral:sRNA from 1 species
CGUGGCUUGCUCAUGUCGAUGUCUUUCUAUGGGACGGGAAUUUGAAUAUGUCACUUGCCUCCUACUAAAAUCUUUUUUCCCCCUCUCCGUCUUUGGCCACAGCUCUUCCAUUCCUAUCCUCCUGCAGUGUCGGGCAUCCCCCCUAUGAUCCCACCCACUGGCCCUUUUGGUUCACUACAAGGAGCAUUUCAGCCGAAGACAUCCAACCCUAUCGAUGUCGCUGCUCGGCCUGGGACAGUCCCACACACUUUACUCCAAAAGGACCCGAGGUUGACAGAUCCUUUCAGACCUAUGUUAAGGAAACCAGGGAAGUGGUGUGCUAUGCAUGUUCACAUCGCCUGGCAGAUUUACCACCACCAACAGAAAGUCAAGAAACAGAUGCAGUCAGACCCACAUAAGCUGGACUUUGGACUGAAACCUGAGUUCCUGAGCCGCCCUCCAGGCCCCAGUCUUUUUGGAGCCAUCCACCACCCCCAUGACCUGGCACGGCCUUCAACUUUGUUCUCUGCCGCUGGUGCUGCACACCCAACUGGGACCCCUUUUGGGCCACCUCCUCAUCACAGCAACUUCCUCAACCCUGCUGCCCACCUAGAGCCUUUUAAUCGGCCGUCUACGUUCACAGGCCUAGCAGCAGUUGGUGGCAAUGCCUUC